rnacentral:rRNA from 1 species
UACGUAGGGUGCGAGCGUUAAUCGGAAUUACUGGGCGUAAAGUGUGCGCAGGCGGCCUCGCAAGUCAAGCGUGAAAGCCCCGGGCUUAACCUGGGAACGGCGCUUGGGACGGUCCCGCUAGAGAUCGGGAGAGGAGCGUGGAAUUCCCAGUGUAGAGGUGAAAUUCGUAGAUAUUGGGAAGAACACCGGUGGCGAAGGCGGCGCUCUGGACCGAGACUGACGCUGAGGCGCGAAAGCGUGGGGAGCAAACAGG